CUACGGAGGGUGCAAGCGUUACUCGGAAUCACUGGGCGUAAAGCGCGCGCAGGCGGCUAUUUAAGUUGGAUGUGAAAGCCUACGGCUCAACCGUAGAACUGCAUCCAAAACUAUUUAGCUAGAGUGUGGGAGAGGAAGAUGGAAUUAGUUGUGUAGGGGUAAAAUCCGUAGAGAUAACUAGGAAUACCAAAAGCGAAGGCAAUCUUCUGGAACACUACUGACGCUGAGGCGCGAAGGCGUGGGGAGCAAACAGGAUUAGAAACCCUGUAGUCC
rnacentral:rRNA from 1 species